rnacentral:rRNA from 1 species
CACGUAAGCCCCGAGCGUUAUCCGGAUUUAUUGGGUUUAAAGGGAGCGCAGGCGGCUGUUUAAGCGUGCCGUGAAAUGCCGUGGCUCAACCAUGGCACUGCGGCGCGAACUGGGCGGCUUGAGUCGGCGGAAGGUGCGCGGAAUUCGUGGUGUAGCGGUGAAAUGCUUAGAUAUCACGAGGAACUCCGAUUGCGAAGGCAGCGCGCCGCAGCUGUACUGACGCUCAUGCUCGAAGGCGCGGGUAUCGAAC